AACCCUUGUGGAGGAGGACGCCGAAGGUGGGGCUAAUGACUGGGGUGAAGUCGUAACAAGGUAGCCGUACCGGAAGGUGCGGCUGGAUCACCUCCUAACAGGGAGACAACAAAAUGUUUAAUAUUAUUAUUUUGUCACCUUAGGUCGAUCGGUAUCUCACGUUCUUAAUUCGUUAAGAAUUUCAUUUCCUAAGUUUUUCUAGGUCACACCCAUUAUUUUUCCUGGGCCAUUAGCUCAGGUGGUUAGAGCGCACCCCUGAUAAGGGUGAGGUCCCUGGUUCAAGUCCAGGAUGGCCCAUAUCUCUAUGUUGGGGGUAUAGCUCAGUUGGUAGAGCGCCUGCUUUGCAAGCAGGAUGUCAGCGGUUCGAGUCCGCUUACCUCCACUGAUUACCACCUCUUCCAUAACCGGUAGAAAGGAAAUGUUUUGAGUUGUGAUCAUUAUUCUGAACGAAUCUAGCUUCCUAAUGAAAUCAUUAAGAUGCUGGACUCAUUGAAUUAAUUUCAUUGUUUUCAGAGAACCUUGACAACUGCAUAGAUUAUUUUUAAAGACAAUAAGCAUCUUUAAUGAUGCAGAUUUAUUAUUUGUGCGAAUGCAUUAAUAACAAUUCUAUUAAGCUGAUGCUUCAAUUUUUGAAGUUAUUGGUCAAGCUACAAAGGGCUCACGGAGGAUACCUAGGCACACAGAGGCGA
rnacentral:misc_RNA from 1 species